GAUGAACGCUGGCGGCGUGCCUAAUACAUGCAAGUCGAGCGAACAGACGAGGAGCUUGCUCCUCUGACGUUAGCGGCGGACGGGUGAGUAACACGUGGAUAACCUACCUAUAAGACUGGGAUAACUUCGGGAAACCGGAGCUAAUACCGGAUAAUAUAUUGAACCGCAUGGUUCAAUAGUGAAAGACGGUUUUGCUGUCACUUAUAGAUGGAUCCGCGCCGCAUUAGCUAGUUGGUAAGGUAACGGCUUACCAAGGCGACGAUGCGUAGCCGACCUGAGAGGGUGAUCGGCCACACUGGAACUGAGACACGGUCCAGACUCCUACGGGAGGCAGCAGUAGGGAAUCUUCCGCCCUGGGCGCCCGCCUGCCGGCGCCCCGCCGCGUGAGUGAUGAAGGUCUUCGGAUCGUAAAACUCUGUUAUUAGGGAAGAACAAAUGUGUCAGUAACUAUGCCCGUCUUGACGGUACCUAAUCAGAAAGCCACGGCUCACUACGUG
rnacentral:rRNA from 1 species